UACUCAGGUGGCCUAGUGGUUAAAACGUCCGUCUCGGGUGCUGGAGGUCGUGGGUUCGAUCCCCGGCCGAGUCA